rnacentral:rRNA from 1 species
CAGAUGGGGAUAGCUAUUAGAAAUAGGUAGAUAAUACCGAAUACGAGCAACAGGGGUUAGAGAUCUGGUAGAGGAAAGGGAGCUAAGGCUCCGCUGAAGGAAUGGCCUGCGGCCAUUAGCUAGUGGUGAGGUAAGAGCCCACCAAGGCGAUGAUGGGUAUCCGGCCUUAGAGGGUGAACGGACACAUUGGGACUGAGAUACGGCCCAGACUCCUACGGGAGGCAGCAGCUAAGAAUAUUCCGCAAUGGGACGAAAGUCUGACGGAGCGACGCCGCGUGGAAUGAAGAAGGCCGGAAGGGUUGUAAAAAUCCUUUUGAAACUGAAGAAUAAGCGUUGUAGGGAAUGACAGCGUGGUGACAGUAGGUUUUGAAUAAGCAACGGCUAAUUACGUGCCAGCAGCUGC